UUAGAUCCUGCGUGAGCCAGGCCUAAGGAUUCAGUUCCCUAACUCACGUUCACCAGGGUGAAUAUUAAAUGCUUUGCAAAGGCCAAGUGCACCGCCAACGCCCUCACUAAUAGGAUUUCAAAUGCUACGGUUAUCCAGGAAGUUGGCAGGGAGAGAGAGCUGCGUGGAGCUGUUGUAACAGAUUCUCAUUUUGGACAGAUUGGA